UACGUAGGCAGCAAGCGUUGUUCGGAGUUACUGGGCGUAAAGGGUGUGUAGGCGGUUGUUUAAGUUUGGUGUGAAAUCUCCCGGCUCAACCGGGAGGGUGCGCCGAAUACUGAAUAACUAGAGUGCGGGAGAGGAAAGUGGAAUUCCUGGUGUAGCGGUGAAAUGCGUAGAUAUCAGGAGGAACACCGGUGGUGUAGACGGCUUACUGGACCAUGACUGACGCUGAGGCACGAAAGCGUGGGGAGCAAACAGG
rnacentral:rRNA from 1 species